GACGAACCGUGCAAACGUUAUUCGGAAUCACUGGGCUUAAAGGGCGCGUAGGCGGGCCGCCAGGUCCGGGGUGAAAGCCUCCAGCUCAACUGGAGAACUGCCUCGGAUACUGGGUGCCUCGAGGGUGGUAGGGGUAUGCGGAACUAUCGGUGGAGCGGUGAAAUGCGUUGAUAUCGAUAGGAACUCCGGUGGCGAAGGCGGCAUACUGGACCACAUCUGACGCUGAGGCGCGAAAGCCAGGGGAGCAAACGGG
rnacentral:rRNA from 1 species